UACGUAGGGUGCAAGCGUUGUCCGGAAUUAUUGGGCGUAAAGAGCUCGUAGGCGGUCUGUCGCGUCGGCUGUGAAAACCUGGGGCUUAACUCCGGGCCUGCAGCCGAUACGGGCAGACUAGAGUUCGGCAGGGGAGACUGGAAUUCCUGGUGUAGCGGUGAAAUGCGCAGAUAUCAGGAGGAACACCGGUGGCGAAGGCGGGUCUCUGGGCCGAAACUGACGCUGAGGAGCGAAAGCGUGGGGAGCAAACCGG
rnacentral:rRNA from 1 species